rnacentral:rRNA from 1 species
AUGAACGCUAGCUACAGGCUUAACACAUGCAAGUCGAGGGGCAGCAUGGUCUUAGCUUGCUAAGACUGAUGGCGACCGGCGCACGGGUGAGUAACACGUAUCCAACCUGCCGUCUACUCUUGGACAGCCUUCUGAAAGGAAGAUUAAUACAAGAUGGCAUCAUGAGUCCGCAUGUUCACAUGAUUAAAGGUAUUCCGGUAGACGAUGGGGAUGCGUUCCAUUAGAUAGUAGGCGGGGUAACGGCCCACCUAGUCUUCGAUGGAUAGGGGUUCUGAGAGGAAGGUCCCCCACAUUGGAACUGAGACACGGUCCAAACUCCUACGGGAGGCAGCAGUGAGGAAUAUUGGUCAAUGGGCGAGAGCCUGAACCAGCCAAGUAGCGUGAAGGAUGACUGCCCUAUGGGUUGUAAACUUCUUUUAUAAAGGAAUAAAGUCGGGUAUGUAUACCCGUUUGCAUGUACUUUAUGAAUAAGGAUCGGCUAACUCCGUGCCAGCAGCCGCGGUAAUACGGAGGAUCCGAGCGUUAUCCGGAUUUAUUGGGUUUAAAGGGAGCGUAGAUGGAUGUUUAAGUCAGUUGUGAAAGUUUGCGGCUCAACCGUAAAAUUGCAGUUGAUACUGGAUAUCUUGAGUGCAGUUGAGGCAGGCGGAAUUCGUGGUGUAGCGGUGAAAUGCUUAGAUAUCACGAAGAACUCCGAUUGCGAAGGCAGCCUGCUAAGCUGCAACUGACAUUGAGGCUCGAAAGUGUGGGUAUCAAACAGGAUUAGAUACCCUGGUAGUCCACGCCGUAAACGAUGAGUGCUAAGUGUUAGGGGGUUUCCGCCCCUUAGUGCUGCAGCUAACGCAUUAAGCACUCCGCCUGGGGAGUACGACCGCAAGGUUGAAACUCAAAGGAAUUGACGGGGGCCCGCACAAGCGGUGGAGCAUGUGGUUUAAUUCGAAGCAACGCGAAGAACCUUACCAGGUCUUGACAUCCUCUGACAAUCCUAGAGAUAGGACGUCCCCUUCGGGGGCAGAGUGACAGGUGGUGCAUGGUUGUCGUCAGCUCGUGUCGUGAGAUGUUGGGUUAAGUCCCGCAACGAGCGCAACCCUUGUUGUCAGUUACUAACAGGUUCCGCUGAGGACUCUGACAAGACUGCCAUCGUAAGAUGUGAGGAAGGUGGGGAUGACGUCAAAUCAGCACGGCCCUUACGUCCGGGGCUACACACGUGUUACAAUGGGGGGUACAGAGGGCCGCUACCACGCGAGUGGAUGCCAAUCCCCAAAACCUCUCUCAGUUCGGACUGGAGUCUGCAACCCGACUCCACGAAGCUGGAUUCGCUAGUAAUCGCGCAUCAGCCACGGCGCGGUGAAUACGUUCCCGGGCCUUGUACACACCGCCCGUCAAGCCAUGGGAGCCGGGGGUACCUGAAGUGCGUAACCGCGAGGAGCGCCCUAGGGUAAAACUGGUGACUGGGGCU